CCAUAUGUUCUCAAGGUGAAGUUUAAAAAAGAUAUUUACUUUUUGGGAGUUCAAUGGUAAGUGUUAUUAUAUAAUGGUGCAGUGUAUAUUGUGAGAUACUGCACAAAAUUUUGACAUCGUCUGCUGGCUGUGUCCUUUAGGCUUGUUGUAAUUUAUGUUGCCAUUUAGCUACAGUUUUUUACCUUGCUGCAAGUUAAAAAGGCAGCUUUGGAAACACUUUUGUUUAGUGAGAAAAUCUCAGUUAAGG
rnacentral:misc_RNA from 1 species